rnacentral:rRNA from 1 species
GACGAACGCUGGCGGCGUGCUUAACACAUGCAAGUCGAACGGAAAGGCCCUGCUUUUGUGGGGUGCUCGAGUGGCGAACGGGUGAGUAACACGUGAGUAACCUGCCCUUGACUUUGGGAUAACUUCAGGAAACUGGGGCUAAUACCGGAUAGGAGCUCCUGCUGCAUGGUGGGGGUUGGAAAGUUUCGGCGGUUGGGGAUGGACUCGCGGCUUAUCAGCUUGUUGGUGGGGUAGUGGCUUACCAAGGCUUUGACGGGUAGCCGGCCUGAGAGGGUGACCGGCCGCAUUGGGACUGGGAUACGGCCCAGACUCCUACGGGAGGCAGCAGUGGGGAAUAUUGCACAAUGGGCGGAAGCCUGAUGCAGCAACGCCGCGUGCGGGAUGACGGCCUUCGGGUUGUAAACCGCUUUCGCCUGUGACGAAGCGUGAGUGACGGUAAUGGGUAAAGAAGCACCGGCUAACUACGUG